rnacentral:rRNA from 1 species
UACGUAGGGUGCAAGCGUUAAUCGGAAUUACUGGGCGUAAAGCGUGCGCAGGCGGUUAUGCAAGACAGAUGUGAAAUCCCCGGGCUCAACCUGGGAACUGCAUUUGUGACUGCAUGACUAGAGUACGGCAGAGGGGGAUGGAAUUCCGCGUGUAGCAGUGAAAUGCGUAGAUAUGCGGAGGAACACCGAUGGCGAAGGCAAUCCCCUGGGCCUGUACUGACGCUCAUGCACGAAAGCGUGGGGAGCAAACAGGA